AAGAAUGAGACAACAUGGAAGUAUAAAGACCCAUGCUUUUGGUUGUCCCCAUUUCUCCUGCAAUCUUCUUCAACCAACAUGGUUCAGUAGAGCACAGGGGAAUAAGUGCAGCAGAAGAGCCUCAUGAGAGCUUCUCAAGUUGUAUGUUUGAUCCUUGUGGUUGCUGCCUUGUUUGUUGCACUUGCUUCUCUACAAGCAAGUGCAGAUGCCGCUGGGUUGCAUGAAGAGGCCGGGGCAUUCAAGAAGGGCAAGCUGCCAUGGUGGUGGGACACCGAUUAUAUACGGUCGAAACGUCGAAGGCCAAUACAUAACUGAACUUGAUACUUCAUUAGUCUUAGAAGUGGUCUCUACUGAUUCAUAUAAUCAUGUAUGUCAUCCGGUUAAUCAUUGUUGUAUUAGCUAAGUUAGGCUACAUCGUGAAAUCCCUUUUAGUACUUUGGUUUCACAUUAUUCUUGUUUUUAUUAUAUUGUAGAAACUUUUCUUAAGAACUAGGAAGGUGGCCCGCGCGAAUGCGCGGGCAUGUAAUAUAGGUUGCGUUUAAGAGUGGAAUAUCAACCGGAUGACAUUGUCAUGUUUUAAAAGUACCGUUUUCUAGACAUUUUCUUCAUUGGCAUUGGUUAGAUAAUUUCUCCGAGCCAUUUGUUAGCUUUAAACUAUAUAAUAUUUAAUUCCUCCCUAUAAACAAUUAUAUAUUAUCUCUUUAUUAUCAA